rnacentral:rRNA from 1 species
UACGUAGGGGGCGAGCGUUGUCCGGAUUAUUGGGCGUAAAGAGCGUGUAGGCGGCCAGGUAGGUCUGCUGUGAAAACUCGAGGCUCAACCUCGAGACGUCGGCGGAAACCAUCUGGCUAGAGUCCGGAAGAGGAGAGUGGAAUCCUGGUGUAGCGGUGAAAUGCGCAGAUAUCAGGAAGAACACCCGUGGCGAAGGCGGCUCUCUGGGACGGUACUGACGCUGAGACGCGAAAGCGUGGGGAGCGAACAGG